rnacentral:sRNA from 1 species
AGAGCUCGGCACUGCGCCGGGGCGCACGGCUCGGGGGACCCAGGCCCAGCUACCUUCCCUCCGCCCCCAGGCUCCGUUCUCACUUUCCAGCAGUGGAAGGACGGGAAGCGGGAGCCAUGCAGUCCGAAUCGGGGAUCGUGCCGGAUUUCGAAGUCGGGGAGGAGUUUCAUGAAGAGCCCAAAACCUAUUACGAACUCAAAAGUCAACCGCUGAAGAGCAGGCUAUUUUUCUGAGUCAGCCUAUAGGAUGGCUUCCCAGGCAGUUCCGCGGAGCAUCCUGGGGCCUCCAAGCCUCCGAUAAGCUCCUCCAGUAUGACAUCACGCAUCUUGCUACGCCAGCAACUCAUGCGUGAGCAGAUGCAGGAGCAGGAGCGCAGGGAGCAGCAGCAGAAGCUGCAGGCGGCCCAGUUCAUGCAACAGAGAGUGCCCGUGAGUCAGACACCAGCCAUAAACGUCAGUGUGCCCACCACCCUU